AGCGAACGCUGGCGGUAGGCCUAACACAUGCAAGUCGAACGGCAGCACAGUAAGAGCUUGCUCUUACGGGUGGCGAGUGGCGGACGGGUGAGGAAUACAUCGGAAUCUACUUUUUCGUGGGGGAUAACGUAGGGAAACUUACGCUAAUACCGCAUACGACCUACGGGUGAAGGCAGGGGAUCUUCGGACCUUGCGCGAUUGAAUGAGCCGAUGUCGGAUUAGCUAGUUGGCGGGGUAAAGGCCCACCAAGGCGACGAUCCGUAGCUGGUCUGAGAGGAUGAUCAGCCACACUGGAACUGAGACACGGUCCAGACUCCUACGGGAGGCAGCAGUGGGGAAUAUUGGACAAUGGGCGCAAGCCUGAUCCAGCCAUACCGCGUGGGUGAAGAAGGCCUUCGGGUUGUAAAGCCCUUUUGUUGGGAAAGAAAAGCAGCAGGUUAAUACCCCGCUGUUCUGACGGUACCCAAAGAAUAAGCACCGGCUAACUUCGUG
rnacentral:rRNA from 1 species